ACACUGCGCUGUGGAGACAACACGACAUAAGAGACCUCUUGCUCCUGUCCCUUCAAACGUGGUGCAAAUUUGCCGCUUGCUGGCUCGCUCGCUCACACGUCCCCGACCAGACCGACAGACACCAUGUGGGGAUGAUGAAUGACGAACUUAUCUCUGAGACUCAGAAGGCAGCCAGACACGAUGAAAACCCAGCCCAACUCACUGCAGGGCUCUCCUCGCUAUGUGUCUGCUGCUAUUCUUGUCUUCAUCUGAAUUGCACAGUAUGUGUAUAUCAGUAUGUGCUGAGAAGCUCUUGCAGCCAUAUCAGCUUCACUCACCAUUGCCUCUAUUAAACCCCUGAGAUGACACAUGCCAUUACUCCAAACACGGUUACGUAAACACAAAGGAAUCCCCAAAAGAAGAAUCCCAAUUUAGCCGCAGACAUCUUCAAGGCAGGCACUUCAGCUUUAUGCUCUGUUUCUAUGCCACAACUGCAGACUGAACUGAGGCACGCAGCAUUCGGCGAUGAUUUUGGCUUAUUUUGUUUCCGGAUUGCGGGCCGGUAGGUCCAUGAAGGAAUGCUUAUUUUCCCUUACUGUGAAUUUGCUUAAAGCUGUGUCAAAAAUUCUCACGGAGACGAGAAGAGAGAAGAAGUCCUGGGCGGAUCUGGCAUGUGAAAAUAUGAUAUAUAACUUUCUGAGAGGAAAAGCAAGCAGCUUUAACCUCCUUCUCCUUCCAGACAACGUGUGGCAGUGUGAUUAAUACAGUGCAGAAAGGUUGCAUGCAUUGACCUUUAAUCUGUG